rnacentral:rRNA from 1 species
GGGAGAGUAACACAUUGGUAACCUACCUUCGAGACGGGGAUAGCUCACCGAAAGGUGGAUUAAUACCCGAUAGUCAUGGGGGGACUUGAAGUCAUUCCCAUGUAAAGAUUUAUCACUCGAAGAGGGGCCUAUGUCUGAUUAGCUAGUUGGUAGGGUAAUGGCUUACCAAGGCUAUGAUCAGUACCGGGCGUGAGAGCGUGACCCGGCUCACUGGGACUGAGAAACUGCCCAGACUCCUACGGGAGGCUGCAGUCAAGAAUAUUCCGCAAUGGACGAAAGUCUGACGGAGCGACGCCGCGUGCAGGAAGAAGCCCUUCGGGGUGUAAACUGCUUUUCUUAGGGAAGAAUUAGUGACGGUACCUAAGGAAUAAGAGGUUGCUAACUCUGUGCCAGCAGCAGCGGUAAUACAGAGACCUCAAACGUUGUCCGGAUUCAUUGGGCGUAAAGCGCCCGCAGGUGGUUUAGCAAGUUGUUGGUCAAAUCUUGGGGCUUAACUUCAAGGCUGCCAGCAAAACUGCUAGACUAGAGGCUGGAAGAGGCACACGGAACUGUCGGUGUAGUAGUAAAAUGCGUUGAUAUCGACAGGAACACCAAAGGCGAAGGCAGUGUGCUAGUACAGUUCUGACACUCAUGGACGAAAGCGUGGGUAGCGAAUGGGAUUAGAUACCCCAGUAGUCCACGCCUUAAACUAUGUGCAUUAGGUAUUGGAAGUAUCGACCCUUUCAGUGCCGUUCAAAAAAGCUAACGCGUUAAAUGCACCGCCUGGGGAGUACGAACGCAAGUUUAAAACUCAAAGGAAUAGACGGGGACCCGCACAAGCGGUGGAUCAUGCGGUUUAAUUCGAUGGUACGCGGCGAACCUUACCUGGACUUGACAUAUAGCUGCAUUCCAAUGGAAACAUAGGAAGCCUUCGAGGGUGCUAUACAGGUGCUGCAUGGUUGCCGUCAGCUCGUGCCGUGAGGUGUACCCUUAAGUGGGGUAACGAGCGCAACCCUCGUUCUGAGUUAAAUGUACUCAGAAGACUGCUCGCGCAAGCGAGAGGAAGGGGAGGACGACGUCAAAUCAGCAUGGCUCUUACGUCCAGGGCUACACGCAUGAUACAAUGGCCAGUACAAAGGGUUGCCAAAUCGCGAGAUGGAGCCAAUCCCAUAAAGCUGGUCUCAGUUCAGAUUGUAGGCUGCAAUUCGCCUACAUGAAGUUGGAAUCGCUAGUAACCGUGCAUCAGCCACGGCACGGUGAAU